rnacentral:rRNA from 1 species
GACGAACGCUGGCGGCGUGCUUAACACAUGCAAGUCGAACGGAAAGGCCCUGCUUUUGGGGUGUUCGCGAAUGGCGAACGGGUGAGUAACACGUGAGUAACCUGCCCUUGACUGGGGGAUAACUUCAGGAAACUGGGGCUGAUACCGGAUAGGAGCGCCGGCUGCAUGGUGGGGGUUGGAAAGGUUCGGCGGUUGGUGAUGGACUCGCGGCUUAUCAGCGUGUUUGGGGGGUAGUGGCUUACCAAGGCUUUGACGGGUAGCCGGCCUGAGAGGGUGACCGGCCACAUUGGGACUGAGAUAAGGCACAGACUCCUACGGGAGGCAGCAGUGCGGAAUAUUGCACAAUGGGCGGAAGCCUGAUGCAGAAACGCCGCGUGCGGUAUGACGGCCUUCGCGUUGUAAACCGCUUUCGCCUGUGACGAAGCGUGCGUGACGGUAAUGGGUAAAGAAGCCCCCGCUAACUACGUG